rnacentral:rRNA from 1 species
AAGUCGUAACAAGGUUUCCGUAGGUGAACCUGCGGAAGGAUCAUUACUGUAGGAGCCUCGCGGCUCCUGCUGAGAUUGCACCCAUUGUCUUUGGCGCACCGUACGUUUCCUCGGCAGGCCCGCCUGCCAACGGGGACCCCAAACAAAACCUUUUGUAGUAGUAGUAAACGUCUAAAACACAAAUAAUCAAAACUUUCAACAACGGAUCUCUUGGUUCUGGCAUCGAUGAAGAACGCANCGAAAUGCGAUAAGUAGUGUGAAUUGCAGAAUUCAGUGAAUCAUCGAAUCUUUGAACGCACAUUGCGCCCUUUGGUAUUCCUUAGGGCAUGCCUGUUCGAGCGUCAUCUAACCCCUCAAGCAUCGCUUGGUGUUGGGCGCUUGUCCCGCCUCCGCGCGCGGACUCGCCUCGAAAACAUUGGCGGCCUGUGUAUUGGCUUCGAGCGCAGCACAUUUGCGUCUUGACCCCUCUCGCGCAGGCGUCCACGAAGUGACCCCCCAAGUUUGACCUCGGAUCAGGUAGGGAUACCCGCUGAACUUA